ACCGGGACUCAGAGGUUGCUGGACUCCAACUUCCAUCAGCCCCAGCCACCAAAGCCAAUGGCUAGGCAUGCUGGGAGCUGUAGUCCAGAGUCUGGAAGGCAUCACACUGACUACCUUGGGACUACCGUGUACCAGAGGUUCCCCCCAACUCUCCAGAUCAGAUUUUCAUAGAGGUGCAGGGAGGAGAACAAGGAAACAUUAAUGGUAUUAACAGUAAAGAAGACGAUUUCAAAGCUCGUUUGUUUUUGUAAAGCUCGGCGCAGUCGCCACCAUCAUCAUCGCCAACAGCCGCCUUCACUUCAAAUCUCUUUCCAGUCAUAUUUAUUGUUGGCAUCUCACACAGUAAAGCCGAAGAAGAAGUGUGAAAGGCAAACGCUUCACUCUAUUUCUUCACAAAAAUAACAACAAUCACCAUUCGGACUUUUCUGGGACUGGGUGUGAACUGAAAAGGAACCUCAUUCAUUUCCAAGUCUGUCUUCUCCCCAGACUGUAUUUACGAAUAUAAGAAAAGACCUGACUGCAAAAUGA